rnacentral:rRNA from 1 species
CACGUAGGGCGCAAGCGUUGUCCGGAAUUAUUGGGCGUAAGGAGCUCGUAGGUGGUUUGUUACGUCUGCUGUGAAAACCUAGGGCUUAACCCUGGGCUUGCAGUGGAUACGGGCAGACUAGAGGUAGGUAGGGGGGAAUGGAAUUCCUGGUGUAGCGGUGAAAUGCGCAGAUAUCAGGAGGAACACCGGUGGCGAAGGCGGUUCUCUGGGCCUUACCUGACACUGAGGAGCGAAAGCGUGGGGAGCGAACAGG